GAAAUGCGAUAAGUAAUGUGAAUUGCAGAAUUCAGUGAAUCAUCGAAUCUUUGAACGCACAUUGCGCCCGCCAGUAUUCUGGCGGGCAUGCCUGUUCGAGCGUCAUUUCAACCCUCAAGCCCUGCUUGGUGUUGGGGUCCUACGGCUGCCGUAGGCCCUGAAAGCUAGUGGCGGGCUCGCUACAACUCCGAGCGCAGUAAUGUAUCUCGCUAGGGAAGUGUUGCGGGUUCCGGCCGUUAAACCCCCCAAUUUUACAAGGUUGACCUCGGAUCAGGUAGGAAUACCCGCUGAACUUAA
rnacentral:misc_RNA from 1 species